UCUCAGGGUUCUGCUAGUAACUGCUUGUGAAGGGGGAAAAGCUCCCUUUAGAAYCUGGUGGUCUUUGGCCAUCCGAGUUGUAAUUUAGAGAAGCGUCUUCCGCGCUGGACCAUGCACAAGUCUCCUGGAAUGGAGCGUCAUAGAGGGUGAGAAUCCCGUCUUUGGCAUGGACCCCAGGGCUUCUGUGAUGCGCUCUCAAAGAGUCGAGUUGUUUGGGAAUGCAGCUCAAAAUGGGUGGUGAACUCCAUCUAAAGCUAAAUAUUGGCGAGAGACCGAUAGCGAACAAGUACCGUGAGGGAAAGAUGAAAAGCACUUUGGAAAGAGAGUGAAACAGUACGUGAAAUUGUUGAAAGGGAAACGCUUGAAGUCAGUCGCGUCGACCGAGACUCAGCCUUGCCUCGGCUUGGUGUACUUCUCGGACCGACGGGUCAGCAUCAAUUUCGAUCCUUGGAUAAUGGCAAGGGAAAGGUGGCACCUUUACAGGUGUGUUAUAGUCCUCUGUCGCAUGCAAGGGUYGGGAUUGAGGAACUCAGCAUGCACCUCAUCGGUGUCGGGGCCUCGGCCUACGUUACGUGCUUAGGAUGYUGGCAUAAUGGCUUUAAACGACCCGUCUUGAAACACGGACCAAGGAGUCUAACAUGCACGCGAGUGUUCGGGUGGAAAACCCGUGCGCGUAAUGAAAGUAAAAGUUGGGACCUCUGUCGUGGAGGGCACCGACGCCCGGACCAGACCUUCUGUGACGGCUCUGCGGUAGAGCGUGUAUGUUGGGACCCGAAAGAUGGUGAACUAUGCCUGAAUAGGGUGAAGCCAGAGGAAACUCUGGUGGAGGCUCGUAGCGAUUCUGACGUGCAAAUCGAUCGUCAAAUUUGGGUAUAGGGGCGAAAGACUAAUCGAACCAUCUAGUAGCUGGUCUGCGAGUUUCCCCUCAGGAU
rnacentral:rRNA from 1 species